rnacentral:rRNA from 1 species
AAAUUGAAGAGUUUGAUCAUGGCUCAGAUUGAACGCUGGCGGCAGGCCUAACACAUGCAAGUCGAGCGGAAACGAGUUAUCUGAACCUUCGGGGAACGACAACGGCGUCGAGCGGCGGACGGGUGAGUAAUGCCUAGGAAAUUGCCCUGAUGUGGGGGAUAACCAUUGGAAACGAUGGCUAAUACCGCAUGAUGCCUACGGGCCAAAGAGGGGGACCUUCGGGCCUCUCGCGUCAGGAUAUGCCUAGGUGGGAUUAGCUAGUUGGUGAGGUAAGGGCUCACCAAGGCGACGAUCCCUAGCUGGUCUGAGAGGAUGAUCAGCCACACUGGAACUGAGACACGGUCCAGACUCCUACGGGAGGCAGCAGUGGGGAAUAUUGCACAAUGGGCGCAAGCCUGAUGCAGCCAUGCCGCGUGUGUGAAGAAGGCCUUCGGGUUGUAAAGGACUGUCAGUCGUGAGGAAGGUGGUAGUGUUAAUAGCACUAUCAGUUGACGUUAGCGACAGAAGAAGCACCGGCUAACUCCGUGCCAGCAGCCGCGGUAAUACGGAGGGUGCGAGCGUUAAUCGGAAUUACUGGGCGUAAAGCGCAUGCAGGUGGUUUGUUAAGUCAG